rnacentral:rRNA from 1 species
ACUCUGGAGAUACUGCCCCGGUUAACGGGGAGGAAGUGGGGAUGACGUCAAAGUCCUCAUGGCCUUUAUAUCCAGGGCUACACACGUGCUACAAUGGUCCGUACAAAGGGAAGCAAUACCGCGAGGUGGAGCAAAUACCUGAAAACCGGCCUCAGUUCAGAUUGCAGUCUGCAACUCGACUGCAUGAAGUCGGAAUCGCUAGUAAUCGCGGAUCAGCAUGCCGCGGUGAAUACGUUCCCGGGCCUU